AUGAACGCUGGCGGCGUGCCUAAUACAUGCAAGUCGAGCGAACAGAUGAGGAGCUUGCUCCUCUGACGUUAGCGGCGGACGGGUGAGUAACACGUGGAUAACCUACCUAUAAGCCUGGGAUAACUUCGGGAAACCGGAGCUAAUACCGGAUAAUAUAUUGAACCGCAUGGUUCAAUAGUGAAAGACGGUUUUGCUGUCACUUAUAGAUGGAUCCGCGCCGCAUUAGCUAGUUGGUAAGGUAACGGCUUACCAAGGCGACGAUGCGUAGCCGACCUGAGAGGGUGAUAGGCCACACUGGAACUGAGACACGGUCCAGACUCCUACGGGAGGCAGCAGUAGGGAAUCUUCCGCAAUGGGCGAAAGCCUGACGGAGCAACGCCGCGUGAGUGAUGAAGGUCUUCGGAUCGUAAAACUCUGUUAUUAGGGAAGAACAAAUGUGUAAGUAACUAUGCACGUCUUGACGGUACCUAAUCAGAAAGCCACGGCUAACUACGUG
rnacentral:rRNA from 1 species